GGGCCGCACAGCCAGCCAAAGCUCCAUCUUGCCAAGAUGACGAAAACGAGUUCCCAAGAGGGAGAGUGAUUGCCAGAGGUCACAGACGUUUGGCGGCAAGAACCUGGUUUGAGGGCUCAGGGCUCCAUAGCGAGUCCCUCUAAUCGGACUGCACCUCCUCCGCUUGUGACCACCGCCCCCAACAGAGACGACGUGCAAGCUUCAUUUAAUGAAAGAAGUUCCAUCCGACUUUAAGGACACUUGCCAAGAAGAAAUACAGAUAUGUGCCUAGAGAGAGAAACAGAACAGGUCCUUGCAUUUCACUCCACUCACUCAUAACCCCUCUAGGAUGUGUGUGAAUUUAACCACAGAUUGUAUGCAAAUAUGGUUUUAUUGAUUUCCGAGUUGGUGUGUGGAGGUGUUACUCAGAUGAGCUGGUGUGCAGGCUCCUUGCUGGGGUUUCUGCGGUCCGCAACCCAGGGUGUAUUAACAGCUGGGCUCUAACAAACUAGGAGCCCAGUCUCAACAAGUGGGUAUGGGUUUCAAGACUAGGUUGGAUCAUGUUUGCCCUUCACAGAGAGGGCAGGUGUGGGCAUGGAAGCCCACACAUGGAAUCAGUGUCGUCUCUGGGACAGUGGCCCUGGGCUGGAAGCCCAG
rnacentral:lncRNA from 1 species